GCACAGGGCUUCCCCAAGGUCACAUGGCUAGUAUGCGGAAGCGGCAGGUACACAUUCAGCCUUCCGGUGAAACCCACCGGAUUUAUGUGUACUCAGGCAAAACACAAGAGCAGUGUAGGCUCUGGGGAGUGGAGAAGGGCUCUAACUAGUGACAGGGUGAGAAAAGCUUGCAUAAUUGUGUUGUAAAGACAUAAUAUCCUUGUAGAAGGAGGCGGGGGACCGAAGUCACUGAGCUGCAGGGGAGGAAGAGACUCUUCCUGCUUUGAGAAUGGAGGGACCAAGGACAGCUCUCCUGGGAGAAGCUUCUGAGCUAGUCCCGGAAGCAUGGCUAGGAUGGAGCGACAAGGGAGCACUGGAGGCAUUCUGCUUCGCAACAAAGUAGACUAGAGAAGCUUCCAGAUGCUUGCUCCUAAAUGUAGCCAAGAGGACCCAGGACGCACAGCAAGGUGGAGAGAAUGCUGCUUGCAAGGGGGUGACAGUCCUCAUUUGUGCUGCUCUCUCUUGAGCCCUGAGCAAGUCUCCUGACUUUCCAGCCACUAAGCCCUGAAGUGAGGGAACUCUACUCCAGAGGCUCCUUCCACGGGAGGUCGAGGUGAGAGCCAAGUGAGCGGACCGUCAGAGAGAACCAGUGAGAGUGCCAACAAAGGAAAUGUGCUUCUUUUGCGCCUCGCUCCGUGGUUCUGAACACGAACAUCCCGCUCGGAAACCAACGCUGAUUUCCACACCGCAUCUCGUCUACUCAGUUUCACUUAGCAAACACCUUCACUGCUCUUCCACGGUGAGAAAAAUGGUGCCCCAGCCCCACGGAUGACAGGUUGGUACUUGACUGCAACCGCUCAAUAGUUUUAUCAGCAACCGGAAAACUUCACAAUCGCUCAAUUAGCUACUUAAAUCCGUGUAAGGAAAUCUGUUUAGGCUUACACUAAAAAACCACCUCUGUUUCACCUAUCUUAAAUCCAGUCUAAGAUAGUCCCCCAGACACGCCGCAUAUAAACACUCCCCCUUCCCCCACCCCCAUUAUCCCAAAAGAUCCCCCCGUAGACAGGCAACACAUUCAGAUGGCCAGCAUUAACCAAAGCAAUCGCCACCAUGCAUUCAGAGGCAUCUAUGCAAAGUAUGUGACAAUAGCCAAAGCAUCUCUCAGACAAUUGGCUGUACUACACAUGCAGAAAAGCAACGAAGAUUGCAUUUUCCACUUACAGUUAUAGCGCUGCGCACGGUCACUUAACGAAAAUGAUAAAACUCAACAGUUCUUUAUAUAUAUGUAUAAUUCAGGUAAACGGUUAAGCCGUCUCUCUGCGCGGUUCUCUCGCGCUUUUUUUCUUUUUUCUUUUUGGCUCUGGAGCUCUAGGCUGCUUAAAUCCCUCUUGGAUCGCGCCUCGCAAGCCCAGCCGCCG